UACGGAGGGUGCAAGCGUUAUCCGGAUUCACUGGGUUUAAAGGGUGCGUAGGCGGACAGGUAAGUCAGUGGUGAAAUCUCUGGGCUUAACCUGGAAAGUGCAGAGGGGACUGUUCAGCUAGAGGAUGGGAGAGGAGCGCGGAAUUCCCGGUGUAGCGGUGAAAUGCGCAGAUAUCGGGAGGAACACCAGUAGCGAAGGCGGCUCGCUGGGCCAUUCCUGACGCUGAGACGCGAAAGCUAGGGGAGCGAACGAGG
rnacentral:rRNA from 1 species